rnacentral:rRNA from 1 species
UACGGAGGAUCCGAGCGUUAUCCGGAUUUAUUGGGUUUAAAGGGUGCGCAGGCGGGAGAUUAAGUCGGCGGUGAAAUUUUGCAGCUCAACUGUAAAAGUGCCUUCGAAACUGGUUUCCUUGAGUGUAGAUAAAGUAGGCGGAAUUUGUGGUGUAGCGGUGAAAUGCUUAGAUAUCACGAGGAACUCCGAUUGCGCAGGCAGCUUACUAAACUACUACUGACGCUCAGGCACGAAGGCGUGGGGAUCAAACAGGAUUAGAUACCCUGGUAGUCCCU